UACGUAGGUGGCAAGCGUUGUCCGGAAUCAUUGGGCGUAAAGGGCGCGUAGGCGGUCAAUUAAGUCAGAUGUGAAAACUCCGGGCUUAACCUGGAGAUUGCAUUUGAUACUGGUUGACUUGAGUGCAGGAGAGGACAGUGGAAUUCCUAGUGUAGCGGUGAAAUGCGUAGAUAUUAGGAGGAACACCAGUGGCGAAGGCGGCUGUCUGGACUGUAACUGACGCUGAGGCGCGAAAGCGUGGGGAGCAAACAGG
rnacentral:rRNA from 1 species